rnacentral:rRNA from 1 species
CGAAAGCCUGACGGAGCAAGACCGCGUGAGGGAGGAAGGCUCUUGGGUUGUAAACCUCUUUUCUCAGGGAAGAAGCUCUGACGGUACCUGAGGAAUCAGCCUCGGCUAACUCCGUGCCAGCAGCCGCGGUAAUACGGAGGAGGCAAGCGUUAUCCGGAAUUAUUGGGCGUAAAGCGUCCGCAGGUGGCGAUUCAAGUCUGCUGUCAAAGCACGGGGCUUAACUCUGGAAAGGCAGUGGAAACUGGUAGGCUAGAGUACGGUAGGGGGAGAGGGAAUUCCCAGUGUAGCGGUGAAAUGCGUAGAUAUUGGGAAGAACAUCGGUGGCGAAAGCGCUCUACUGGACGGCAACUGACACUCAGGGACGAAAGCUAGGGGAGCG